rnacentral:tRNA from 6 species
GGGCCCGUAGCUCAGCUAGGUAGAGCGCGCGGCUCAUAACCGCGUGGUCGAGGGUUCAAAUCCCUCCGGGCCCA